ensembl:misc_RNA Metazoa_SRP Metazoan signal recognition particle RNA
GCUGGGCGUGGUGGCUCACGCCUGUAAUCCCAGCGCUGUGGGAGGCUGAGGUGGGUGGAUUGCUUGAGCCCAGGAGUUCAAGACCAGCCUGGGCAACAUGGCAAAACCCCAUCUCUA